rnacentral:rRNA from 1 species
GACGAACGCUGGCGGCGUGCUUAACACAUGCAAGUCGAACGGAAAGGCCCUGCUUGCAGGGUACUCGAGUGGCGAACGGGUGAGUAACACGUGGGUGAUCUGCCCUGCACUUCGGGAUAAGCCUGGGAAACUGGGUCUAAUACCGGAUAGGAGCCAUUUUUAGUGUGAUGGUUGGAAAGUUUUUUCGGUGUAGGAUGAGCUCGCGGCCUAUCAGCUUGUUGGUGGGGUAAUGGCCUACCAAGGCGGCGACGGGUAGCCGGCCUGAGAGGGUGGACGGCCACAUUGGGACUGAGAUACGGCCCAGACUUCUACGGGAGGCAGCAGUGGGGAAGAUUGCACAAUGGGCGCAAGCCUGAUGCAGCGACGCCGCGUGGGGGAUGACGGCCUUCGGGUUGUAAACUCCUUUCGCUAGGGACGAAGCUUUUUGUGACGGUACCUAGAUAAGAAGCACCGGCUAACUACGUG